GAUGAACGCUAGCGGCAGGCCUAAUACAUGCAAGUCGAACGGUAAGGCCCUUUCGGGGUACACGAGUGGCGGACGGGUGCGUAACGCGUAUGCAACAUGCCUUCCAGCGGGGGAUAUACCAGGGAAACUUGGCGCAAUACCCCAUAGAAUUACGGGACCGCAUGGUCUUGUGAUUAAAACUCCGGUGCUGGGAGAUUGGCAUGCGUGACAUUAGCUAGUUGGCGGGGUAAAGGCCUACCAAGGCGACGAUCGGUAACUGGUCUGAGAGGAUGAUCAGUCACACUGGAACUGAGACACGGUCCAGACUCCUACGGGAGGCAGCAGUGGGGAAUAUUGGACAAUGGGGGCAACCCUGAUCCAGCCAUGCCGCGUGUGUGAAGAAGGCCUCGGUUG
rnacentral:rRNA from 1 species